ACCCAGGUAUUUGGCCAAGAACGCCACGAGGUAUUUGGUUGGAGUGUGCAUUCACGUACCCUGCCCAAAAAUAUGCUGAUGUGUCUAACAGAUUUCUUGCAAUGCAUGCCUCAACAAUCAGGUGCCUCAUGUUUCCAGAACAGUUAAUAGGCAUGUCAUUCAUGCUCAUGCUUUCAUAAUAGCUAUUACUACUGUUCACUCCCGAGAUAAACAGUGUAGCUUUUGCAGCAGCUUGAUUGGCUACUGAAGUAACAGACUGAGGUGGGGUCAACAAGCUAUCAUAAUCACCUAGCAAUUGUAAUGCAGUAAUAAGACCCCUGCGACAUUUUCCCAGACCUUGUUUCUCUUUCAUUUGGUCAGUAGGGCUGUGUUCAGUUUCAUCAAUCAGUU
rnacentral:misc_RNA from 1 species